GUUUUGGUCUUUCGUGUCGGAAGCAUUCCUCAAAUGCCCAACUGAAAGUUUUGUGGAAAGUUUGGGGCCCUGUCAGCUGGUGGGCUGCAUUGUAGGGUGAUCAGACAGCGAAGGCAAACCAGUUCUGAGAACAUCAGAGACUUCACUGGCCAACUCCGGAGGCACCAAAUCUAACUGUGACCCAGAUUUGACCUUGGAGCUGACCAGGAGGCAUCAAGUUGAAGCCAGGUUUACACUCUCAUUCCUCCAACUACCUCGAGUGGUUUUUUUCAAGAGGAGUCUGGGUAGGAAUGAGCUAAGGCCACGUUCCUGCAUUUAAGGACGUUUUUGGGACUGCAGAAGGAGGAGCACUUUGAUCUCUUCCUGAAGAGUUUCCACAGGACCCAGCAAGGCUCCUUUCACCCAGGAUGCCGGCCUUGGACAGUCGGGCUUUCUCUCCAGAAGCUAAAAUCCCCACCAAAUGCAAGCAUUUAACUACUUGAUGACCAUGAGCACGUAGCCCCCAGGCCUGCUGGAGCCUGACGAUUGAUCAUGUUAACCCCUGUGACACCGUCCUGCUAACCACCAUCAACCAGAGACUUGUGCACAGCUGAUCACACACCCUGCGAGCCCCCUCCCUCACCUGGCCUCUAAAAAUGCUUUGC